CAGGUAAAGGGGAAGCAAAGACGCAUUUCCUAAAACCAGCCGAUGUCAUAACCUCACCCAAGUCUUAUCACUGGAACCUCCCACACCCAGCUUGUCCACGUGGAGCCUCCAACAGCCAGCUUGUCCAUGGGGAGCCCCUGAUGCAACUAAUAUCCGGACAUAAAAUGUGGGCAGUGUGCUCUCCAGAUUCCUCUUGGUCCAGACUCCAUUCUCUGGGGCCCCCAUUAUGGUCUGCUCCAGCCUUAAUUACCAGAACAGAGAGACAGCAACGCUUUGCCUUCCACACUGACUCCCCCACCUCCAUGGAAAGUAAACCCUUGGAGCCUCUAAAGCACUUCCCUCUGCUGCUGUCAUCAUAACGGAAAGCAGAACCUGUGUUUUCUCUGUCUUCUGAGGUCAUAAGCCAUUAUGCUGUCAUGAAAGAAGACUAUGGUUUCAAGGUCGACCCGUGGGAAAUCCCUCCAGAUCGAAGAUGGACAGAGGCUUCAUGAGCCUCUCUGUGACCAUUUCAAUAGAGAGGGGCUGGGCUUCAGCCUCUGACUCCCAGCCAUCUACAUUCUUUCUUAGGUGUCAUGGAAACAGCAACUCUAGUAGUUUCAGAGAAUAUGUAGGCUUGGAAAAUGGGGUAGUUGACAGAAAGCAUGGCAUAUCAUAAAGGUCAGAGGAGACUGUGUUCUUAUAUUCUGUUGCUCUGUGACAAAUUGCCACAAUUUAAUGGCUUAAAAUGACACAAAUGUGUUAUCCUAUGGUUACAAUGGGUCAGGAGUCUGGACUAAGCUUGCAUAUAUUCUCAGCCAAAAGUCUUGCAAGCUAGAAUUUUGAGGUCCUUUGAAAAGUCCCACACUAGGAGAGUGACCCCUAAUGGUGUCUAAGACAGAAUUACCUGUCACCCAGAUGGACCUUAACCCAAUGUACAGAAAAUGUAUGUCUGACUCAUUGUGUCCUUAUAUGGAGACUUUAAAUUGAAACUAGCUACAUUUUAAGUCUUGCUUUCCUAGUACACUGUGAGGUCUUGGAAGCUGAGAUAUUUCUUUGUUGUACACUUUUUAUCUACAGUGCUUUGCACACUGCCUGGAACAUCUAGAGACGGAUUCAAUAAAUAUUUGCCAAAUGA